ACUUGUAAUUGUUGUUGAGAGAUAAGACAUAUAAAAAGAUACAUCUCCACAUUCGAUUCAUUCAAUUCAAUUUGAUUGAUCCAGGAAGAGAAACAUGAAGAUCAUUGCCAUCUUUGCACUUUUGUUCAUUGCCGUGUCUGGAGAGGAUCUGGAGUGGGAGUCCUGCAAUCCCGAUAACUGUGGAUGUUGAACUCAAGUUGGUCAAGAAAGGAAUUGUCUCCAUUCCCAUCCCCUGCAUUGAAAGCCCUUCAGGCCUGCAUUUGGGCUCUUGUUCCUACAAACUGGAGGAGAUUGUCACAAAAUAUGCGUAUUUCUUGUGUCCAGACUAUUUUCCAGAGGGCCAAAGCUGUUCUUUCCCUUUGAAGGCAGGACAAUAUGGAGGUGAGAUCUCUGGUAUUGUUCUACCUGACAUCCCACCUUCCAUUUCCAACCUCGCCAAGGGAACCAUUCAUGGAACUCUCUCUGUGACCAGAAACGGGGAAGAAGUUUUCUGUAUCAAUGGAGAUUUGAAAAUGACAAAUUAAUCCUUGUUUCUGUAUCCAUAUUUGAAGUCAAUAAAAUCCUUCAUUAAUCUA
rnacentral:lncRNA from 1 species